rnacentral:tRNA from 1 species
GAAGGUAUAGCUCAGUGGUGGAGGACAUGCAUAGCAUGCACGAGGUCAUGGGUUCAAUUCCCAGUACAUCCA